rnacentral:rRNA from 1 species
UACGGGGGGGGCAAGCGUUGUUCGGAAUUACUGGGCGUAAAGGGCCAGUAGGCGGCCAACUAAGUCCGACGUGAAAUCCCAAGGCUUAACCUUGGAACUGCGUCGGAUACUGGAUGGCUUGAAUCCGGGAGAGGGAUGCGGAAUUCCACGUGUAGCAGUGAAAUGCGUAGAGAUGUGGAGGAACACCGAUGGCGAAGGCAGCCCCCUGGGUCAAGAUUGACGCUCAUGCACGAAAGCGUGGGGAGCAAACAGG